rnacentral:rRNA from 1 species
CCAGACUCCUACGGGAGGCAGCAGUGGGGGAUAUUGCACAAUGGGGGAAACCCUGAUGCAGCGACGCCGCGUGAGUGAAGAAGUAUUUCGGUAUGUAAAGCUCUAUCAGCAGGGAAGAAGAUGACAGUACCUGAGUAAGAAGCCCCGGCUGACUACGUGCCAGCAGCCGCGGUAAUACGUAGGGGGCAAGCGUUAUCCGGAUUUACUGGGUGUAAAGGGAGCGUAGACGGUUGUAUAAGUCUGGAGUGAAAGCCCGGGGCCCAACCCCGGGACUGCCCUUGGAACUGUGCGGCUAGAGUGCGGGAGGGGCAGGCGGAAUUCCUGGUGUAGCGGUGAAAUGCGUAGAUAUCAGGAGGAACACCGGCGGCGAAGGCGGCCUGCUGGACCGCGACUGACGUUGAGGCUCGAAAGCGUGGGGAGCGAACAGGAUUAGAUACCCGCGUAC